rnacentral:rRNA from 1 species
CCUACGGGAGGCAGCAGUGAGGAAUAUUGGUCAAUGGGCGCGAGCCUGAACCAGCCAAGUCGCGUGAGGGAAGACGGUCCCAUGGAUUGUAAACUUCUUUUGUCGGGGAGCAAAAGACGCCACGCGUGGCGUUCCGAGAGUACUCGAAGAAAAAGCAUCGGCUAACUCCGUGCCAGCAGCCGCGGUAAUACGGAGGAUGCGAGCGUUAUCCGGAUUUAUUGGGUUUAAAGGGUGCGCAGGCGGAAGAUUAAGUCAGCGGUAAAAUUGAGGGGCUCAACCCCGUCGAGCCGUUGAAACUGGGUGUCUUGAGUGAGUGAGAGGUAUGCGGAAUGCGUGGUGUAGCGGUGAAAUGCUUAGAUAUCGCGCAGAACUCCGAUUGCGAAGGCAGCAUACCGGCGCUCAACUGACGCUCAUGCACGAAAGUGUGGGUAUCGAACAGGAUUAGAUACCCGGGUAGUC